CGCACCUUGCGCUCCUUGGUAUUCCUCGGAGCAUGCCUGUUUGAGUAUCAUGAAACUCUCAAAGAAAAUCUUUUGUUAAUUCAAUUGGUUUGCUUUUGGACUUUGGGAGGUUUUUUUUGCAGAUUAAUUUCUGCUCCUCUUAAAUGUAUUAGUACUGGAUCUCAGUAUAUGCUCGGUUCCACUCGGCGUGAUAAGUAUCACUCGCUGAGGACACUGGUUAAAAAGGUGGACCGGGGAAAUACAGAUGAACCGCUUCGAACAGUCCAUUCACUUAGGACAAAUAAAGUUUUAAGAUCUGAUCUCAAAUCAGGUAGGACUACCCGCUGAACUUAA
rnacentral:rRNA from 1 species